rnacentral:rRNA from 1 species
CAGUCGCCGCGGUAAUACGAAGGGGGCAAGCGUUGUUCGGAUUUACUGGGCGUAAAGCGUACGUAGGCGGAUAUUUAAGUCAGGGGUGAAAUCCCGAGGCUCAACCUCGGAACUGCCUUUGAUACUGGAUAUCUUGAGUCCGAGAGAGGUGAGUGGAACUCCUAGUGUAGAGGCGAAAUUCGUAGAUAUUAGGAAGAACACCAGUGGCGAAGGCGGCUCACUGGCUCGGAACUGACGCUGAGGUACGAAAGCGUGGGGAGCAAACAGGAUUAGAUACCCCCGUAGUCCCUGUCUCUUAUAC